GACGAACGCUGGCGGCGUGCUUAACACAUGCAAGUCGAACGGAAGGACCCUGCGUUUGUGUGGUGCUCGAUUGGCGAACGGGUGAGUAACACGUGAGUAACCUGCCCUUGACUGUGGGAUAACUUCAGGGGACUGGGGCGAAUACCGGGGAGGAUCUCCUGCACCGUGUGGGGGAUUGGAGAGUGUCGGCGUUGGUGUCUGGACUAGAGGGUUAUCAGCUGGUUGGGGGGGUAGGUAUGUACCAAGCGUUUGACGGGUAGGCUGCCUGAGAGGGUGAACGGCCACAUUGGGCCUGCGAUACGGACCAGACUCCUACGGGCGGCAGCAGUGGGGAAUAUUGCACAACGGGCGGACGCGUGAUGUAGCAACGCCGGGUGCGGGAUGACGGCUUUCGGGUUGUAAACCGCUUUGGCAUGUGACGAAGCGUGCGUGACGGUAAUGGGUAAAGAAGCAACGGCUAACUACGUG
rnacentral:rRNA from 1 species